CGUCAUAUAACCGCUUCGCCAUCACUCGCGAUUAUUACGUCAUAGUCAGAUUCACGCACGAGAACACGCGACCUCACAUUGCGGUUUCUUCUAUUCGUUUUUACGAUUUUUUCAUGGGGCCCCAUGCGCGUUUUGCGUUGUCGCUAGGCACAUUACUUUUUUUAAUAUUAAUUUUACUAUUUAAAAUAUUGGCACGAAAUGAAGCAUGAAGAUCAAAGAUUUGGUAAAGUAUAAAUUACAAUAGGCAUUGUUACGUACACCAGUUGUGUUUUUAGAUGACAUCACUGAGAUGUGACGUCACAAAGUGGUGAUGGCGCAACAGAAGAACCCACUUCAAUAUGGUAUGUGACGUCACAGAGGAUCAAAAGGACAGUGCGCGAAUCGGGAAUGAAGAAAAGCCAGCCUAUAUGCUGCAGAAGAAAAGCGCAAGACGAAGAGCAAAGACGAAGACGACAAUAAGGAUGCCGGUUUGAGGUGUUUCUUAUAGGCUUAGGAGUUGUGUGUUGUUGGGUUGUGGUUGCUGGAGCACUCUUACAGUGUUGCCGGAUUAGUGUUUGUGUCUCAUUUUUGCUGGACCUAAUGUGGCCAGCCUUUUUGUUAGUCACUACUUUAGUGCAUUUUGCAUGUCACUGAAAUAUAUGCAAUGAAACUAUGGCGAACAUCUUGCUGGAUCGGAUUUUGUUGCUGUACACGUCAUUAUGUGUUUCUUCUGCAAAGGUCGAUUCCUUUAGUGAUUCUGCAUUGUCCUAAUCACUCGAUAAGAACGGCAUGUUGGUACACAAAUACUUAAGUAAUAUCAACGCGCAUUAUAAUAUAUACACACAAUUAAACUUUGUCCCUCAUUUUUCAUUGAUUAAUUUUCCCGUUAACAUGUCGCUAUUUUUUUACAAAAGCCUAAUUGUGACGCUGGCCACGUUACAAUUACGCUAUACGUCGAUGGGACUUUGGGGCCCAGCGUUCGGUGCGGUUAUGUUACGGUUCUAGACUGAGUUGUGUUACCGCUGGGUUGUUGCGUGGACGUCGCCGCCAGUGAUGCUACUCUAGUUUUAGGUCACUAACGAUGCAGUGACGCUACGCUCGGUUAUUUAGGUCACUAUUAGUGCGGUUCGUAACAACCUGACGUAGUUUCAUGACGGUCGAAGCGGUGCUUAACAUCCGAACGAUAUUAUAUUGCGUGAAGAUACGACGAGAGUAUCGCGGUACCAACAUGGCGACUUGUCAGGUGAUUCGGACUUGCGGAGCCGUUAUUGGCUUCGACUCCUUGUGGUCGGACAUUUAAUAAUUUGUACACUGCAGCUGAUUAUCCUUCAGGAUUUGAACCAUAUUUUCUUUGAAGAUGUUUCAUUGAUUAUGUCCGCGUUAAUUGUAACCGUUCAAUUUUCGGAUAUGGUUGAGCUGUUGUGUGUAUUGCAUGCUAUUGUGCACUUUUUGUACUUAACACCUCGUUGUAUUAUUUUUGUCUUUUUGUCGUUGUUGUCGUGCACAUGUGUAUGUGCAUUCGUUGUAUCAUUUUUGUCUAUGGGGGUUUCUUUAACCUGCGUGGACAGUAACAUCCCGCAAGGGUUUCUCACCUAAGUAGAAACCCACUACCAUUGGCUGGGGGCUUGUCGUGCCGUAGUGGCUUUUCACCAACGCCAGCCACACAAAAUAUGAAGGUAUUUUAAUCCUGUUUUAAUUUUUUCAGAAAGCAAUUCUUGGAGACCUAUUGCGACUGCCGUUUUAAUUUGCGCUGCUAUAAUAAUAAUGGUAUUUAUACAUUCUCGUUAAAUUUGAAUAUCUUGAAAUAAAAACACGAAACGCA